AUGAAGAAGUCCAAGCUCUUAUUUGGCAAAUAUUCGUACACCAAAAGUUUUUCCUCUCCCUUAAUGCAGCAUCCCAUGAGCUUGACCAGAUUACUGUGUUGUAGUUUUGCAAUAAGUUCAACUUCAUUUUUGAAUUCUGUGAAACCCUGUCCUGAAUGUGAGGCAAGCCUUUUAACUGCAAUUUCUGUUCCAUUUGGUAACUGGCCCUGGAAGUAUGUACAAAACUGGAGGCAUUAUAUUUUACUGAAAUUACAGAAAAUGGAUUACAUGCCAUCCAUGGGAAAAGGAAUUUUGCUAUAUACAGCAAACAGCAUGCCAACAUCAAAAUAUCCAAUACAUGGCCUUAAUAUUCCAUUUGAGUGCAUUAUCUAUUUCCUUCAGAGUUUCAGUCCACUGCUGAAUAGUGCAAAAUAA
rnacentral:rRNA from 1 species